GACGAACGCUGGCGGCGUGCUUAACACAUGCAAGUCGAACGGUGAAGCGCCUUCCUUUUUGGUGGGUGUGGAUGAGUGGCCAACGGGUGAGUAACACGUGAGUAACCUUCCCCCUCCUUCUGGAUAACCGCAUGAAAGUGUGGCUAAUACAGGAUAUUCUGGGUCUGUUGCUUGAUUGGUCUGGGACAGAUAUUGUUUCGGUGGGGGAUGGGCUCGCGGCCUAUCAGCUUGUUGGUGGGGUGACGGCCUACCAAGGCGGUGACGAGUAGCCGGCCUGAGAGGGUCGGCGGCAACAGAGGGGAGAAACCGCGGCCAAGACUCCGAGGGGAAGCAGCAGGGAGGAAUAUGGCACAAGGGGCGGAAGGCUGAUGCAGCGACGCCGCGUGAAGGAUGGAGUCCGUCGGGUUGUGAACCUCUUUCGCGAGUGAAGCAGGCCUGCCUCGUUUGUGCGUGGGUUGACGGUAGCUGGAUAAGAAGCGCCGGCUAACUACGUG
rnacentral:rRNA from 1 species